UACGUAGGGUGCGAGCGUUGUCCGGAAUUACUGGGCGUAAAGAGCUCGUAGGUGGUUUGUCGCGUUGUUCGUGAAAUCUCACGGCUUAACUGUGAGCGUGCGGGCGAUACGGGCAGACUUGAGUACUGCAGGGGAGACUGGAAUUCCUGGUGUAGCGGUGGAAUGCGCAGAUAUCAGGAGGAACACCGGUGGCGAAGGCGGGUCUCUGGGCAGUAACUGACGCUGAGGAGCGAAAGCGUGGGGAGCAAACAGG
rnacentral:rRNA from 1 species